GAGACGCAGGGCACCGCCAUGAUAGAGAGGGCUUGAAAUGACUAACACCGCCUACCUACUUUGCCACGACGGAUAGAGACCGGAAAGGACGAGGCAAGGUGGGCUGGGCGCCACCAUGACAACCUAAACCGGAAGAAGCGAAUUCUCCUCGGAGUCUGCACUGUCUGGGUCGGGAAGGGUGGAGCCUGGACGCUGCGGAGGCGGAACCAAAGAAGCGCCGGCUGGAUCUUUCUCGCUGUGUGUGGACGUUCUCUAGUUUGGGUUCAUGAUCUGAAGACGAAACAUGUUCUGUGAGACUGAGAAAGGACCCUGUGGGUUGCUGCUGGAUGUCUCAAGGGUCAUAUCCAAGGAAUCAUUGCUAAAUGUAAUGUCAAGAACAUUUUCAGCUAUGUUUUCUUCUAAGAGUUUAAUAAUUUAGGUCUCCUGUUUAGUUCCA